rnacentral:lncRNA from 1 species
AUGAUGAUUCUCGUUGGCAGGAGGCAGAACGCACAGACGGGAGGGAAAUAUAAGGGGAAUGUUAGUGGGCUAAUGUAUAAGUGUAUAUAAUGGGUUUGGUUUAGGUUUGGGUAGUAUAAGUGUAUAAGUUCAAUGUAGGUAGUUUAAAAAAAAAAAAAUCAGACUUUACUAAAAAGAAUUUAUAAUAUAAAUCCAUAAUAUUUUUUACCUAAGAUGUGUGGACGAAAAAUUCUAAGGGGUGCGAACGAAAAAGUCCAAGGGGUGUGGACGUAAAAUUCCAAUGGGUGCGGAUAGGAUUUUCUACGGAAAUUAACAUUAAAUUUUUUUUUUCUCGGGGUGCCCCACCCCACUUUGGCAUGGGGGUGGGUCCACCCCUGGAUUAAGCAUAACCAAGAUAACACUAAUUAAAAGCACAUGUGAACAUCAGUUUGUUGACUUACAAAACAACAAAUAUUACUAGACGAAUGAACGUAAACUAACAAACAUAAAUGAAUGAACAUUCAUGAAUUUAUAUGAACGAACAUUCACGAUCAUAAAAUAAAAAACAAGACGCUUCAUGUUCAUUCAUAAAACUAAAUGAACAAAAAGAAUUACUCGUGUUCCAUAAACAAAUUCUUGACGAGCAAUUCAGGAAAAAAUCAUCGAACACUCGAUUUGUUUGUUGUAGGCCUACAACAUGGAAAAAGGAAUCACACUUGCGAGAAUACAAAACUUAUAUAAACCUACAGAUCUAUUGUCGCCACCAUUACUUUCGUCACCAUGACAAUUAAGGUUCGAUGUUUAAAUAUGCUCUAAAACCAGAGUGACUUCUUGGUUCCAAAAAGUAUACAUGAUUGAUUUGUUGUUUUGACAAAAACAGAGUGAAAUCGGACUAUUAACAUCCACUGGAAAACUGUCAUUUUAGGUCUCUUUCAAUAUCUGUAAUAGUUUGGCGUCAAACUA